GGGUGGUGUCAGCAAUUCAAGACUGUCUUUCCUACCCUCUUCAGUGCCCUUCCUUGAUAAGCUGUUUAAACCAGCCUGGAGACAUUCUCUGCACUUACAAAGGACCAGCUCCUGUGAUCUCUUCUGAGAAGACCACCCCCACCUGCUGUCUCUGAGCACUUUGAACUCACUCCCUGGUCUCCAUGGUGGCGCUCAACACCUUGCAUCACAUGUGGUACUUUGCAUGUCUAUGUCCUCUAGGGAUGUGUGUUAUCAUCUCUGAAAACCCAAUGACAUGCAGCACGGUGCCUAGGUCAGUGAAUAUUUGUUGAUUGACUAGACUCAACACUCGUUGCCAUGGAGAUGAAGCAAUGUACUGCUUUUACUUGUAGGAAUCCAAAGCUGGAUCUAGUUUUUUGUUUUUGUCUUUUUAAAAUGAACUAAACUCCAUACUUUCUAGUUUUGAAUGUUUAACUGACGUAGGAAUUGCUGAAUGGUUUUGAAAUUGAACUAAAGAGCUUUAGUUCAAAGGCAGCCUUGAACCAGUUUCCUUCCAGUCCUGAUGAAGUAAUAUGCUUGUGCCUUAAAUCUGUUUAUUUUCUUC
rnacentral:lncRNA from 1 species